rnacentral:pre_miRNA from 1 species
AAAAAGACAAACCCUAAAUUUCCAUAUCUAACUUUGACUGUCCGUCUUAUAUAAAAUUUUUUUAUAAUUCAUAUUUUUAUUUUUGUUAGAUGAUAAAAUAUGAUUAAUAUUUUAUGUGUGACUUGUCUUUUUAAUUUUUUUCAUAUUUUUUUUUAAAUACAACGGACGGUCAAACAUUGGACAUGGAAAUCAGGGUUUGUCUUUUU